CACCAUCUUCAUGCUUUCUUCAGGAAAGUAGCAAGUUGGAAUAAAAUCUGGCACGCCUUAGGUUGUUGAGUAAGAGGGGAUGUUUGUUUCCUUUGCCUUCCUUUGGCUGCCUAGCACAU